UAUCUCUGUAGAGUCUGCAUAUCAAUAAGCGGAGGAAAAGAAACUAACAAGGAUUCCCCUAGUAACGGCGAGUGAAGCGGGAAGAGCUCAAAUUUGAAAUCUUAAAGGGUUUCCCUUUACGAAUUGUAGUUUAAAGAAGUGUUUUCUGUUGAGGUUUUGGUAAAAGUUCUUUGGAAUAGGACAUCAUAGAGGGUGAGAAUCCCGUAUUUGACCUUUACUUUCAACUUUGUGAUACACUUUCAAAGAGUCGGAUUGUUUGGGAAUGCAGUCCAAAAUGGGUGGUAAAUUUCAUCUAAAGCUAAAUACUGGCGAGAGACCGAUAGCGAACAAGUACCGUGAGGGAAAGAUGAAAAGAACUUUGAAAGGAGAGUUAAACAGUACGUGAAAUCGUCAAAAGGGAAGCGUUUGACACCAGUGUUGUUUUUCUGAAAAUCAAUUAAAGAACUGUUUAUGCUAAGUUGUUUAGACUUUAUCAGCUAACUGUUUAGUUUUGAGCUUUUCUUUAAUGCACUUUUCAGUUAACAAGUCAACAUCAAUUUCUUUUGCUGUAAAAAGGCUUGAGGAAGGUGGCUUGAGAUUCGUCUUAAGUGUUUAUAGCCUCUUGCCUAUGCAGUCGGAGAGAUUGAGGUCUGCAGCGUAGAUCCUUCGGGGCUAAAUGCAUUUGUGCUAAGUUAUAGCAUUUUAUAGACAACUUGUUGACUAUGAUUUGUCUUGUAGCUUACUCGCUUAUGUUAUUUUACCUACGCUUAGGAUGUUGACGAUCAGCUGAGCGCG
rnacentral:rRNA from 1 species